rnacentral:snRNA from 1 species
AUAAUAAGAGCAGCAUGUAUACUAAAAUUGGAAGGAUACAGAGAAGAUUAGCAUGGCCCCUGCACAAGAGUGACAUGCAAAUGUGUGAAGCGUUCCAUAUUUUU